rnacentral:rRNA from 1 species
UGGGGAAUAUUGCGCAAUGGACGAAAGUCUGACGCAGCGACGCCGCGUGAGGGAUGAAGGUCUUCGGAUCGUAAACCUCUGUCAGAGGGGAAGAAACUACGGGGUGCUAAUCAGCUCCGUACUGACGGUACCCUCAAAGGAAGCACCGGCUAACUCCGUGCCAGCAGCCGCGGUAAUACGGGGGGUGCAAGCGUUGUCCGGAAUCAUUGGGCGUAAAGCGUUCGUAGGCGGUAUAUCAAGUCUGGUGUUAAAGCCCGGGGCUCAACUCCGGUUCGGCACUGGAUACUGGUAAACUAGAAUGCGGUAGAGGUAAGGGGAAUUCCUGGUGUAGCGGUGAAAUGCGUAGAUAUCAGGAGGAACAUCGGUGGCGAAAGCGCCUUACUGGGCCGUAAUUGACGCUGAGGAACGAAAGCCGGGGGAGCAAAUG